GGGUGCGUAACGCGUAUGUAACCUACCCUGAACUGGGGAAUAACACUGAGAAAUCGGUACUAAUACCCCAUAAUACACUGGAAGGCAUCUUUUGGUGUUGAAAGCUCCGGCGGUUCAAGAUGGACAUGCGUUGUAUUAGUUAGUUGGUGAGGUAACGGCUCACCAAGGCGACGAUACAUAGGGGGACUGAGAGGUUAACCCCCCACAUUGGUACUGAGACACGGGCCAAACUCCUACGGGAGGCAGCAGUGAGGAAUAUUGGUCAAUGGACGCAAGUCUGAACCAGCCAUGCCGCGUGCAGGAAGACGGCUCUAUGAGUUGUAAACUGCUUUUGUACGAGGGUAAACUCGGAUACGUGUAUCCGACUGAAAGUAUCGUACGAAUAAGGAUCGGCUAACUCCGUGCCAGCAGCCGCGGUAAUACGGAGGAUCCAAGCGUUAUCCGGAUUUAUUGGGUUUAAAGGGUGCGUAGGCGGUU
rnacentral:rRNA from 1 species